AUGGGCGACCUCAAUGACAUACUGUAUGAUGCUGAUAUAUCUAAUGGUUGUGUGAAUUACUAUCGUAUGUCUGGUUUUCGUUCUUUAAUUAAAAAGUGUGGUUUCUCUGAUAUCGGUUAUAGUGGUCCUGCCUACACUUGGCGUAAUAGACAACAUACGACUAAUCCUAUUUACAGACGUCUAGAUCGCUGUCUUGUUAAUGCUGAUUGGUGUGCUCACUAUCCUAAUACUAAGGUGCUUAAUUUGCCCAUUAUUCUUAGUUAUCAUGCUCCAAUCCUCAUUUCCAUGGAUGGUAACUUCUCUAAGCCUAAACAAACUUUCAAAUUUGAAAAUUGGUGGUUGCUUGAGAAAGAUUUUAGUGACUUUGCUAAAUCGGCAUGGAACACUGCUAGGUCUGCUUCUUUCUCGGCAAAAUCUUCUUCUCUUGCAGGAUCUCUGAAAAAAUGGUGUAAGAAGAAAAGGCCAUUCCAGCAUGAGUUACAGGAGUUGGAGUCCAGUAUCAAUCAGAUUCAAAUGCUGCUCUGCACCAGCAAGAUCACUCUCUUGAAAACUCUCUAA
rnacentral:rRNA from 1 species